AGGCUUUGGAAGGACACUUUAUAACUCAUCAAAGGAAAAAUCUACCAAGAUGAACUCUCAAUUCUGAGCAUCUAUGCUCCAAAUGGAAGGGCACCCACAUUCAUAAAAGAAACUUUACUAAAGCUCAAAGCACACAUUGCACCUCACACAGUAAUAGUGCAAGACUUCAAUACCCACUCUCAUCAAUGGACAGAUCAUGGAAACAUAAACUGAUCAGAGACACAGUGAAAUUAACAAAAGUUACAAACUAAAUGGAUCUUGCUGAUGUCUAUAGAACAUUUCAUCCUAAGACAAAAGAAUAUACCUUCUUCUCAGCACCUCAUGGUACUUUCUCUAAAACUGGCCAUAUAAUUGGUCACAAAAAAAGUAUCAACAGAUACAAGAAGAUUGAAAUAAUCCCAUUCAUCCUAUCAGAUCACCACGGACUAAGGCUGGUCUUUAAUAACAACAAAGACAGCAGAAAGCCCACAUACACAUGGAAGCUGAACAACACCCUACUCAAUGAUAACUUGGUCAAGGAAAAAUAAAGAAAGAAAUCAAAGAUGUUUUAGAAUUUAAUAAAAAUGAAGGCAAAACAUUCCCAAAUUUAUGGGACACAAUGAAAGCAGUACUACGAGGAAAACUCCUAGCUCUGAGUGCCUCCCAAAAGAAACUGCAGAGAGCAUACACUAGCAGCAUGACAGCAUAUCUGAAAGCUCUAGAACAAAAAAGUAAAUACACCCAAGAGGAGUAGAUGGUAGGAAAUAAUCAAACUCAGGGCUGAAGUCAACCAAGUAGAAACAAAAAGAACUAUACAGAGAAUCCGCACAACCAGGAACUGGCUCUUUGAAAAAAUCAACAAGAUAGGUAAACCCUUAGCCAGACUAAUAAGAGGGCAUAGAGACAGUAUCCAAAUUAACAAAAUCAGAAAUGCAAAAGAAGACAUAACAACAGAAACUGAGGAAAUUUAAAAAAUUAUCAGAUCCUACUACAUAAGCAAAAACAACAAAACUGGAAAUGGACAAUUCUCUAGAGAGAUACCAGGUACCAAAUUUAAAUCAGGGUGAGAUAAACCAUCUAAACAUUCCCAUAACCCCUAAAGAAAUAGAAGGAGUCAUUAAAUGUCUCCCAACCAAAAAACAAACAAACAAAAACAAAAACAAAAAACAAACAAACAAAAAAAACCAAAAAUCCCCCCAAAAACCCAGGACCAGAUGGGUUUAGUGCAGAAUUCUAUCAGAUCUUCAAAGAAGACCUAAUACCAAUACUCCUCAAACUAUUCGACAAAAUAGAGACAGAAGGAACACUAGCCAAUUUGACCUAUGAAGCCACAAUUACAUUUAUACUAAAACCAC
rnacentral:lncRNA from 1 species